ACACAUGCAAGUCGAACGGAGUUAAAUUCGACACCCGAGUAUCCGGCCGGGAGGCGGGGUGCUGGGGGUUGGAUUUAACUUAGUGGCGGACGGGUGAGUAACGCGUGAGUAACCUGCCUUUCAGAGGGGGAUAACGUUCUGAAAAGAACGCUAAUACCGCAUAACAUCAAUUUAUCGCAUGAUAGGUUGAUCAAAGGAGCAAUCCGCUGGAAGAUGGACUCGCGUCCGAUUAGCCAGUUGGCGGGGUAACGGCCCACCAAAGCGACGAUCGGUAGCCGGACUGAGAGGUUGAACGGCCACAUUGGGACUGAGACACGGCCCAGACUCCUACGGGAGGCAGCAGUGGGGGAUAUUGCACAAUGGGGGAAACCCUGAUGCAGCAACGCCGCGUGAGGGAAGAAGGUUUUCGGAUUGUAAACCUCUGUUCUUAGUGACGAUAAUGACGGUAGCUAAGGAGAAAGCUCCGGCUAACUACGUGCCAGCAGCCGCGGUAAUACGUAGGGAGCGAGCGUUGUCCGGAUUUACUGGGUGUAAAGGGUGCGUAGGCGGCGAGGCAAGUCAGGCGUGAAAUCUAUGGGCUUAACCCAUAAACUGCGCUUGAAACUGUCUUGCUUGAGUGAAGUAGAGGUAGGCGGAAUUCCCGGUGUAGCGGUGAAAUGCGUAGAGAUCGGGAGGAACACCAGUGGCGAAGGCGGCCUACUGGGCUUUAACUGACGCUGAAGCACGAAAGCAUGGGUAGCAAACAGGAUUAGAUACCCUGGUAGUCCAUGCCGUAAACGAUGAUUACUAGGUGUGGGGGGUCUGACCCCCUCCGUGCCGCAGUUAACACAAUAAGUAAUCCACCUGGGGAGUACGGCCGCA
rnacentral:rRNA from 1 species